CCUCUCAUGGCGUAAUGGUAACGCGCCCCAACUAGAGAUCGGGGAGUCGUGAGUUCGAUUCUCACUGAGAAGA
rfam:Aedes aegypti strain Liverpool supercont1.1213 genomic scaffold, whole genome shotgun sequence.